GAAUAUGUUGGAGUCUAAAGUAGGAAUGAUCAUUCUUACUUUUCUUAUUCAUUCCAUUUUAUAGGGGCUUAAGAAACUAGGGGAAUCAGGCCCUUUGUGUAAUACAUAUCGUCUUACAUGAUUUCCAAUGAAGGAUAUUUUCAAGUAGGAGCUUAAGCUUAAAAAAAAAAAAAAAAAGAUUAACUUAAUUACUCUUGAGAUAUGGUAGAAUUCCAGUUGGCCACCUGAAUAAACAUACAAUUUUAUCAUUUUUUUCAGUGUUUCUGUGCUGCAGGAGUACAAAAGUACAGAUGCAUCUCAUGAGUAUAUAAUAAAGAGAAAAUAAGCUACCAUACCCUUUUCAAAAGAACUAAUCAAGUACUAAAAGGAAAAUUAAUGCAAAUAAAAUAUUGAUUAAGAACUAAAAGGAUUUUAAUUAUAUUACUUUCAGAAAUAAUUUAAUUUAACCCAAACAGACAACUAAGAGCAGAUAUUUCGCCUUAGCAUUUUUCAGAUUGCUAAUUAAAAUUUCUAGGAGGAAAUUCAAGUUUAGUGACUGGAUUUUAAAGAUAAAUAAUGCUUGCUUCUUUUCAUAAUAGUUUUAUAAAGGUUUACAUAGUGCCAAAAUAUAAUACUGCAUGCACAUUUUUUUUAAAAACAAUCAGAUAACCUGGAUGCUCCAUACAACCACUGGGGGUAUCGAGCACUCUUACAUUAAGAAAACUUGAAAAUUAAGUGUGUUAAGGUUAAAUAUCUGUCAUAUGUUUUUUAUGUAGAUUUAUAUCUACAUUGUUUAUGAAAUUCUUUGGAGAUAAUUGCUUUUUGGUAAGAUAAAGGCAAUUAUAGUGAUAGAGCACUCUUUGUGCUUCCAUUGCCACUGAGUAGCAAUUUUACUAUUUAUCUGAAAAGAGAUGUAUCUGAUUCUUUAUUCUCUGCCAUAAUGACUUGAUCCAAAAUCCAGUGAAGUAAAUGGAAAUUGCUCAUCACUCUAUAAUUUUGUAUAGCAUUUGGCUUUCAAUGCCACUGCCUACUUUACAUUGUAUUAUUUAUAAGACUGCUGAUCGCUUACAUAUACACCACGAAAUGGAAUGGGAAUGCAGUAAUACAGAGGCACAACAUUUGGAAGCUUUCUACAAAGAAUCUUUUACAACUACAAAUUCUUCACAGAGUAUUAAGGCAAACUGCUCAGAAUUUAAUUAAGCUCCUUUCAUCUUCUUUAGAUGCAGAGUGCUAAAUUAAAGAGAAAAAGAUGAUACUGAGCUACCUGUCCAAACACUUUAGGCAAAAAAAGGUAUAAUUAACAGUCCUUAACAUUAGAUUAGGGAGCAGUAUCAGAAAAUCCCCUUUAUGCCAAGACAGAGGGCUAGAACAUGCCAUGGGGACAUAACAAGAUUCAGAACCACUCUAAAGAAAAUUGUUACACAGAAGAAUCACGUGUCCCAUUAACCAGUGCUCCCUCUCUUGGGCCACUGUAUGUACACAUCAUAAAGCAUGUGACAUACAACUUCUAUGCAAUUUGAAACAUUUCCUAAAAAUUAUGCAAUGCAUGUCUGUGCUACUAGUCUCACUUUGUUAGUCUGCUCACUAGUCUCACUGGUCUCAAUUUUGAAAUUUUGAUUCAGUUAUAUCCAACUUUUCAACCAACUUGACAAGAGGAUUGAGGGGGUCUCAAAAUAUGAAAAUCAGAAGAGAUAGAAAAUCCCACAGAGCCCCUAAUAAUCUGCAGCACACUUUCGUGAGUUGCUAAGUAAUAGGUAAUCUAUAAAACGCAGCAAUGUUGCAACACCAGUCUAUGCAAAGCUUUGGUUUGGUCUCACUUCAUAACACUAGAAACUUGGAAGCACAUAUCUGAGGAAACCAGGCUUCACUACACUGUUGCUUAUGGAAGUAAUUCCUUUUAAGAGAUGAAUAGUAAUUUACACAUUAUUGGAUUAUCUAAUCAACAUAAAAAUGAUUUUACUUGAACACAGGGAAGCUUAGGAGUUUGUCCUCUCCAUAGGCUUUGUCAGAGAUGUAUUAUUGUGCUUGAUGGACUUGAACUGAUAGGGUUGCUUCUCUGUUCCUUUGGCUUAGUCAUGAACAAACAAAAACUAAUUUUGGCCACUCAGCAUUCUGUGAACCAUACAAUCCUCUGCACAUGAUACUUCUGCAAGAGUAAGCUUUAAAAACGAAACUCUUGUUCUCCGUAGGCACUAGAGAUGCAAAUUUGGUGGGACAGAAUCUGAAGGCUAUCUGUCUUCUCAGUUACCCUUUCUGCAACGUAAUAUUUCCUUUGCACUUUGAAGUGGUUGUAUUUAAGCUCAGUUGUGUACGUACAAAAUGAUCUCUGACGAUGAAAGGUAAUAUGAAACGAAAGAAAGACUUUGCAACAUGAAAGGCAUGAAAGAGGAAGAGAAGUAAAGGAGAUGCACUGUUGUUCACCAUUAAUCAUUUCAGCUGGCUACACCUACGUUAAAAAUGCAUGUGCAUGUAUUUACACAACACACAAACAUGCAACGAUGCAAACAGUACACUGCAUGUUUGUUAUGUACAUUGAGUGCAUGUGCGGCUACAACAGAAGUAAAUGAGAAUGAUGCUGAAACAUGAGGUGUAAGCUAAAGGGAACGUUUGAACGGCUGGAUGUUCAGCGAUGUAUGGAGCUGACAUUUGCAAAUCUAAGUUAUAUAUUCUGUUUUCAUUUCUCGACCCUGUCAGCUAAGCAAUCCUUCCACGAGACAGGAAGAAGGAAGAAGGGACAUAAUCCUGAGAGAGCCGAAUGAAUAUAUAUGUUUGCAAUUUCCCUUGAAAUCUGCACAGAAAAUAGGAGUCAACCAUAAAUUCAAAUAAAUCACUGCAAAGACUCACUGACAGUUUUCAGCCAUCUGCUCUCUACAAGAUUAAUGAGUUGAUUCAGUUGUGUCAAAGCAGCUGAAGUGAAUUAAACCCAUGAGAAAGAUUACAAGAAGCACCAAGCACCAAUUUUUUUUUUCCUUUCUUUUCCUGUGUGUCGCAUGGCUUCUUUCUGUCUUUCUCUCCAUCAACUGCUUAGUUGCAAGCUGCUUCACCGUACAUAUUCAUUCGUGGCCCUGAGCCAAGCAGCACAAGAAGGCGUGCCAACCCAUAAUUCUGUAUGGAUUUCUUUUGGUAUUACUCUUUCAGAGGGAAUAAAAGAUGAGAGCAAUUGUUAAAAC
rnacentral:lncRNA from 7 species